UUGCAAUAUCAUAAGCGGAGGAGUAACCAACCGGGAUUGCCUUAGUAACGGCGAGUGAAGCGGCAAAAGCUCAAAUUUGAAAUCUGGUACCUUCGGUGCCCGAGUUGUAAUUUGGAGAGGGCAACUUUGGGGCCGUUCCUUGUCUAUGUUCCUUGGAACAGGACGUCAUAGAGGGUGAGAAUCCCGUGUGGCGAGGAGUGCGGUUCUUUGUAAAGUGCCUUCGAAGAGUCGAGUUGUUUGGGAAUGCAGCUCUAAGUGGGUGGUAAAUUCCAUCUAAAGCUAAAUAUUGGCGAGAGACCGAUAGCGAACAAGUACAGUGAUGGAAAGAUGAAAAGAACUUUGAAAAGAGAGUGAAAAAGUACGUGAAAUUGUUGAAAGGGAAGGGCAUUUGAUCAGACAUGGUGUUUUGUGCCCUCUGCUCCUUGUGGGUAGGGGAAUCUCGCAUUUCACUGGGCCAGCAUCAGUUUUGGUGGCAGGAUAAAUCCAUAGGAAUGUAGCUUGCCUCGGUAAGUAUUAUAGCCUGUGGGAAUACUGCCAGCUGGGACUGAGGACUGCGACGUAAGUCAAGGAUGCUGGCAUAAUGGUUAUA
rnacentral:rRNA from 1 species